GUCCACGCCGUAAACUAUGGGUGCUAGCCGUCGGGUAGCAUGCUCUUCGGUGGCGCAGCAAACGCAUUGAGCACCCCGCCUGGGGAGUACGGUCGCAAGAUUAAAACUCAAAGGAAUUGACGGGGGCCCGCACAAGCGGUGGAGCAUGUGGUUUAAUUCGAGGCAACGCGAAGAACCUUACCAGCCCUUGACUUCCCGAUCGGGGGACCAGAGAUGGACCUCUUCAAUUGGUCGGUGACAGGUGCUGCAUGGCUGUCGU
rnacentral:rRNA from 1 species